rnacentral:lncRNA from 1 species
CUCGCUCCAGCAGGCCGCCGAUGGAGCAGGUGUGCUGCGACAGGAGCGCGGCCCGCGGCACCACGAACAACAGCUCUCCGGCCUGCACGCUCUCCCGGGCCACCAUGCCGUAGCCGGCCACCGUGCCCUGCCGGCUGACCGCCACCUGAGCAGGAGGGCUGGUCAGGGCAGCCCGCGCCCCGCCGCGGGUCCUCCGCCCGCCGGCUCGCUCGCUCACCUUGGGACUCAGCUCCAGCCCCACCCGCCGGCACCAGCUCAGGAAGCAGGCCACAGGAUCCAGGUCGCCGCCGUCCACGGGCCCCGCCACCUGAGAUAAGUGCGCGCAGUGACCAGAGAAACCCCUUGACGCCCCUGCCUGCGUGGCCCUACAGCACCAGCUGGGCCCAGAGAGCACCAGGAAAGUGGCUGCCUGGUCCGAGCGCCCCCUUGUGGCUGUUGUCCAGAUGAUUGUCACAUGUGCUAUGAGACAGAAACAGGUGUGCUUGGUGGAGGGUGGGGGAAGGGGUCUCCCAGGGCUCCCACGCCAGUGCCUGAGCUGGCCCCGCACCCCUG